rnacentral:lncRNA from 1 species
GCAGAAUGCGUUCAUUGAUUUGUAAGUGUAAUUAUUUUUACAAAUUAUUACUUAUUUUCGAUAUAGUGAAAUCUCUGUUAAUCGUCAUCUUUCCAUCGGUAUUAUUUUCGUUCGCAUGGAGGGAAUAUAAAAUUGUACUCAUACAAUUUAAUAGGGUUUUAAUCUCACGAUGUCUAAUGAUGACUGGUAAAUUGUGGUUUGCAAUCAAUUGUAAAAAAACGAAAUGUGAAUUAAUUACAACACUGUGGAAACUAUUGGGAAAGUCUGAGGAUGACUGGAAAUAACAAAUUAUUGUCUGAGAACGAAUUGAAAACAAAUAAUAACGAGAUAUUUCAUACAGUAGGAUAUAAUCUGUUCAACGAAAGAUUCAUGGAAAAUGGGGAAAUCAGAGUUAAUAUCCGUAUAAAGACGACUAUAAAACUUGAACAAGAUAAGCCUAAUGUUUUUGUAUAUGACAAAAAAAAAAAAAAAAAAGAAAUAUGGAUUA